CCUACGGGAGGCAGCAGUGGGGAAUAUUGGGCAAUGGGCGCAAGCCUGACCCAGCAACGCCGCGUGAAGGAAGAAGGCUUUCGGGUUGUAAACUUCUUUUGUCAGGGAAGAGUAGAAGACGGUACCUGACGAAUAAGCCACGGCUAACUACGUGCCAGCAGCCGCGGUAAUACGUAGGUGGCAAGCGUUGUCCGGAUUUACUGGGUGUAAAGGGCGUGUAGCCGGGUUGACAAGUCAGAUGUGAAAUCCUGCGGCUUAACCGAAGAACUGCAUUUGAAACUGUUGAUCUUGAGUACAGGAGAGGCAGACGGAAUUCCUAGUGUAGCGGUGAAAUGCGUAGAUAUUAGGAGGAACACCAGUGGUGAAGGCGGUCUGCUGGACAGCAACUGACGGUGAGGCGCGAAAGCGUGGGGAGCAAACAGGAUUAGAUACCCUUGUAGUC
rnacentral:rRNA from 1 species